rnacentral:rRNA from 1 species
AGCUUCAGUAGCGUAUAUUAAAGUUGUUGCAGUUAAAAAGCUCGUAGUCGCAUUUCUGGCGAGAGGAUCCGGUCCGACCUUUUGGUGGGUUCUUGGGUCUCUUUCGCCAUCCUUGAGUGGUCCGUUCUGGCAUUAGUUUGUCGGAGCGUCAGCCGCUCAUCGUUUACUGUGAGAAAAUUAGAGUGUUCAAAGCAGGCUUAUGCCGUUGAAUAUAUUAGCAUGGAAUAAUAAGAUAGGACCUCGGUAAUAUUUUGUUGGUUUGAGAACCAAGGUAAUGAUGAACAGGGACAGUUGGGGGUAUUUGUAUUUCGUUGUCAGAGGUGAAAUUCUUAGAUUUACGAAAGACAAACUACUGCGAAAGCAUUUACCAAGGAUGUUUUCA